rnacentral:rRNA from 1 species
CGGACGGGUGAGUAAUGCCUAGGAAUCUGCCUGGUAGUGGGGGACAACGUUUCGAAAGGAACGCUAAUACCGCAUACGUCCUACGGGAGAAAGCAGGGGACCUUCGGGCCUUGCGCUAUCAGAUGAGCCUAGGUCGGAUUAGCUAGUUGGUGAGGUAAUGGCUCACCAAGGCGACGAUCCGUAACUGGUCUGAGAGGAUGAUCAGUCACACUGGAACUGAGACACGAUCCAGACUCCUACGGGAGGCAGCAGCC